UGGUUUCGUUCUUAUGAGCGAGCGAGGCGAGCGAGCGCACGUGUAUUUUUAGCAUGUGGACGUCACGGUUGUGCCGUUGGGGGAGGCCGGGCGAGCGCGUGUUUUCCUCUUCUUUUGACUUCUCGCCGUCGUCGGAUUAGCUUUUCGAGGUGGGUUAAAGUUUACCGAAUUCUUCGGAUUUCCUUCUAAGCUUAGAUGUUGUCAGCAUGUAAACAUCAUCUGUAGUAUCAUGUUAGUAGCUCAAUUUGCCGAUUUGCAUUGCUUUUAAUGAAAUCUGAAUUGGAGCUUUGAAUGCUAGUUUUAUUAUACAUGUUGGAUUUGGAUUUGACUUAGGAGAAAACUAUAGGUUCUACACUGUCAUUUUCUGAAAACUAACAGAUUUAGCUUUAGGAGCUAUAGUUUGUUUGUAUCGCCGUAGUUUGUAGGCGAUGGAUACCCAGAAUAGUGUAGAAUGAAUUUACGCUCGUGCUGAGAUACCGUGUUUAUUUUUACAGUAAUGUAUAGACUGUGCCAGACUGUCGGGUGCCGUCGUGGUUGACAGUGGGCCCAGAUUUCUAUAUUUU
rnacentral:lncRNA from 1 species